rnacentral:SRP_RNA from 1 species
GCGGGCAAGCGCCUCGCCAACCCGGUCAGAUCCGGAAGGAAGCAGCCGUAACGAGUCCCGUUUGGGUCGU